GAGAAAACAAAUUUCAUGCACUAAUUUUAUUUCAGAAAACAGGAGGAAUGCCCCCACAAUCUAUGUCAGUAUAAACUUGCCUCAAAUUGUUACACCUACAGAAACAUAAUGUUCUAAUAUACCUAUUAAAGGAAUGAAAAGAAUUGUGAAAAAGAAAUCUGAAAUGUUGAGUAAAAGAUCGUGUUGAAGGGAGCAGGCAAAGUUGCCGCUGCCAUUGUCAUCCCAUCAACAUGCCUUGACCACAUUGCAGUAAUUUCUUUUCCAAUUCCUGAUUCACUUGGAUCAGGUUUUUAUAAAUGCCAAGACAGACAUCUAAUUAAAGAGUCAUAUCUAUUGGAUAGCAACCAAGAACACGAAGAAAUCUUGCA
rnacentral:misc_RNA from 1 species